ACGAACGCUGGCGGCGUGCCUAAUACAUGCCAGUAGAACGCACAGUUUAUACCGUAGCUUGCUACACCAUAAACUGAGCGUUGCGAACGGGUGAGUAACGCGUAGGUAACCUGCCUGGUAGCGGGGGAUAACUAUUGGAAACGAUAGCUAAUACCGCAUAAUAUUAAUUAUUGCAUGAUAAUUGAUUGAAAGAUGCAAUUGCAUCACUACCAGAUGGACCUGCGUUGUAUUAGCUAGUAGGUGAGGUAACGGCUCACCUAGGGGGCGAUACAUAGCCGCCCAGGGAGGGUGAUCUGCCACGCUGGGGCGGGGACACGGCCCCAACGCCUACGGGAGGCAGCCGUGGGGAAUCUGCGGGGAAAGAGGAAAGUCUGACCGAGCAACGGCGCGUGAGUGAAGAAGGUUCUCGGAUCGUAGAGCUCUGUUGUUAGGGAAGAACGGGCGUGAGGGUGGAAAGGUCGCGCUGGGACGGUAUCUUACCAGAGAGGGACGGCUAACUUCGGG
rnacentral:rRNA from 1 species